UACGUAGGCAGCAAGCGUUGUUCGGAGUUACUGGGCGUAAAGAGCGCGUAGGCGGUCCGAUAAGUCGGCUGUGAAAGUCAGGGGCUCAACCCUUGAAAGCCGGCCGAUACUGUCGGACUAGAGUCCGGAAGAGGCAAGUGGAAUUCCCGGUGUAGCGGUGAAAUGCGCAGAUAUCAGGAAGAACACCUAUGGCGAAGGCAGCACUCUGGGACGGUACUGACGCUGAGACGCGAAAGCGUGGGGAGCGAACAGG
rnacentral:rRNA from 1 species